rnacentral:tRNA from 1 species
AGCCUUAUAGUUUAUAUAGGAUUUUAAAUUGCAAAUUUAAAGGAGAGUGGAGACGCUCUAAGGCUU